GACGAACGCUGGCGGCGUGCCUAAUACAUGCAAGUCGAGCGAAGUUUUUCCGGUGCUUGCACCGGAAAAACUUAGCGGCGAACGGGUGAGUAACACGUAAAGAACCUGCCUCAUAGACUGGGACAACUAUUGGAAACGAUAGCUAAUACCGGAUAAUAGCAUUAACUGCAUGGUUGAUGUUUAAAAGUUGGUUUUGCUAACACUAUGAGAUGGCUUUGCGGUGCAUUAGCUAGUUGGUGGGGUAAAGGCCUACCAAGGCGACGAUGCAUAGCCGACCUGAGAGGGUGAUCGGCCACACUGGGACUGAGACACGGCCCAGACUCCUACGGGAGGCAGCAGUAGGGAAUCUUCCGCAAUGGGCGAAAGCCUGACGGAGCAACGCCGCGUGAGUGAAGAAGGAUUUCGGUUCGUAAAGCUCUGUUGUUAGGGAAGAAUGAUUGUGUAGUAACUAGACGCAGUAGAGACGGUACCUAACCAGAAAGCCACGGCUAACUACGUG
rnacentral:rRNA from 1 species